rnacentral:rRNA from 1 species
CUACGGGCCGCAGCAGUGAGGAAUUUUGCGCAAUGGGGGAAACCCUGACGCAGCAACGCCGCGUGAGUGAUGAAGGCUUUCGAGUCGUAAAGCUCUGUCAAGUGGGAAGAAACUGUUUUAUGCCAAUACUAUAAAGCACUGACGGUACCACUGAAGGAAGCACCGGCUAACUCCGUGCCAGCAGCCGCGGUAAUACGGGGGGUGCAAGCGUUAUUCGGACUUAUUGGGCGUAAAGAGCGCGUAGGCGGUCUUUUAAGUCAGAUGUGAAAGCCCAGGGCUCAACCCUGGAAGUGCAUUUGAUACUAAGAGUCUUGAGUAUGGGAGAGGGAAGUGGAAUUCCUGGUGUAGAGGUGAAAUUCGUAGAUAUCAGGAGGAACACCGGUGGCGAAGGCGACUUCCUGGACCAAUACUGACGCUGAGGCGCGAAGGCGUGGGGAGCAAACAGGAUUAGAUACCCUAGUAGUC